CUAACUCACACUUUCUACUCACUUUCAGAGAACCUUGAGCUGAAGCCGUCAACCCCUCUGCUAGGGUUUGUUUCCUCACUGUUGUCAAGUUCGCUCGAGCUCUUUCCUACUCAACUUCCCUAAACUGUUCCGGAGCUGCUGUGCUCACUCUUGUGGUGUCGAGGUCCCGUGCUAAACCCUUUCCAGGAUGUGUUUGCAAGACGAAGCAUUCAAUAAACCAAAUGCAAACCUUGCUUGCCUUAGUUGCUUCUGGAGAAGAUAUUCUUGAACCUCUCGCUGCAAUGAUUGUUGUUUUGGUACAUCCGUAUGGUAUAAUAAGGAUGUUCGAAGUGGUGUAUUGUCUCUAAAUGAUGCCCAAAUGAUGUCCAAAUGAUGCAGGAUGAUCAAAUGGUGGAAGCAAAACACAUUAAGAUUAGGUUUAAAUGUAGUAUUGUAUUAAGAUUUGUCAAUGAUUUUUAAUGUUGUCUAUUUUAUGUUUAAAUAUUUCAA